UGUGAUGGUCUUUGCAGCUGGGGAUGGCCAGUAUCUACCCACUGGAGGAGGUAGCCUGCAGGAAGACGCCUCUCAGAGAGCUGCUGUCCUCUGCCUAGUGGCACACAGGGGGGAUUUCCAUUGCUCUUUUAAAGACAAAGAAACUGAGGUUCAAUAGAUUGGCUGAAGCUACAAAGGGACUGAGCCAAGGCUAGCUCAGGGUCUCCCUGCCUUGAACCAAGGAAAAGCCUCUGAGGCCUUCAGCUUCAGAAGGAAGCAGCGAGGCCUGGGCCACAGGGACAAGUUACCUCAGGAGGUGUCAGCCUGGACCACAGGGACAAGUUACCUCAGGAGGUGUCUGUCAUCCUGGACCACAGGGGCAAGUUACCUCAGGAGGUGUCAGCCUGGGCCACAGGGACAAAUUACCUCAGGGUGUGGCAGCCCACCUGGGUUUCCCUCAGGUCAGUGUGUGCAGGCACUUCCUCACAGUGUGUUCCUGGACAAGACAUACCACCUCUCUGGGUCUGAGGUCCCUCGAAAUAUAACGCCUCAUCUGUAGAAAGCAUGCCCACAUCCGUGGCUAUUCCGUAUCUUUUUCAUACACAAUUUCAGCGUAGUCUUACCACAGUCUUCCAAAGAAAACAUCAAGGAUGUCUAUUUUCUGUCAGUGCUGGGACUUGAACCCAGGACCUUCCUUUUGUUUUUUUUUUAAUAUUUUAUGUAUGUAUUAUUAUAUGUAAGUAUACUGUAGCUGUCUUUAGCUACUCCAGAAGAGGGAAUCAGAGAGAGAUGGUUGUGAGUCACCCUGUGGUUGCUGGGAUUUGAACUCAGGACCUUUGGAAGAGCAGUCAUUGCUCUUGACCGCUUGUCUCUCCAGCUCCUUUGUUUUGUUAAGAAAGGACACUACAAUUGAGCCACAUCCGCAGGCCUUGAGCCUAUGUUUUGAUUUGUUUUGUUUUGUUUGUUUUUGCUUUGCUUUGCUUUGCUUUGAUUUGAUUUUGUAAGACUAGCUCUCAAGUAGCUCAGGCUGGCCCCAACCUCACUGCAUAGCCAAGGAUGACUUAGAACUCCUAAUCCUCCUUCCUUUACUUGUUGAGCACUGAGAUUAUAAUUAUAUGCCACAGUGUCCAGUUGUGUGGGCUGCUGCGUUUAGAACCCACGGCCUCAUGCACGGUAGACAAGUGCUCUCUCUACCUGGGAGCCACCCAAGCCCUUAAGAAUGGCUUAGUCCACAGGGUCUGUUAUAAAAGGUUCCAUUACUCUGGGAUUCUCAGGGACCAGAGGCUCCAGCAGUCUCUGCUUCCCAGGGUUAAAGGAUUUAAUGGGUUGGUAAUUGCUGAGCCUUAAGGGCAAGAGGCAAUUUAUCAGCCCUGGCCAGCCUGGAAGGCCACUACUACUCACCCCUGCCUCUCUCUCUCCCUCCCUCCCUCCACUAUGACAUCACAGCCUGCCCAGGGAGAAAAAUCUGUCUCCAUGACUUGGCCUUGGAGUCUAGGGCUAGUGAGAACUAGAGGCCACCAGAGUGUCUGGUGGGUGACUCGGCAGACAAAGGGCUCUGUCUCCUGGCUGGCCUCACAUACAAUGCAAGGACCUAGGCAAGCUUUGUCCCAUCCAGCCUCUCCCUCAGCCAGAGACACCCAGAGCAUUCACACGCAUUCCACCCACCCAGAGGGCGUCGGAAAGGAGGCAGGGAGGAAGUGGGGACAGAAGGGCAGGGUCUCCACUCUCCGCUCUGCCACCAGUUAUGCCCACCUGUCACCUCUGCCCAGCCUCCACCCCACCCCCACCCCCUGACUGACCUGCAACCAUUUAGGAGCCCUUCAAAGCCAACUCAGCCCCACACACACACACACACUCUAGGAAUCCACGUCUGUGAGUUCAGUCCCUCCGUGUGUGGCAUCUGGUGCCUGGGUGUGACUCGGAGACUUCAGCCUCUCCUUUCCAGCUCUAUUCUUGCAAUAAGAGACCUGGAACUUGGGACCUUUCUGCCCCUCUCUCCUGCGUGCUGGAUUACAGAGAACUCCUGAAUAGCCUUCAAAACCCAAGUUGGGUAUGUUGGCCCAGGCCUAUCAUUCCAGCUACUCCAGAAGCUGAGGCAGGAAGAUCACAAAUUCAAGUAUAUCUGCAUGUGAGCGUGCUGUGUCCAUAGAUGGACUACGUGUGGAGGUCAGAGGUC